CCUACGGGGGGCAGCAGUGGGGAUUAUUGGGCAAUGGGCGCAAGCCUGACCCAGCAACGCCGCGUGAAGGAAGAAGGCUUUCGGGUUGUAAACUUCUUUUCUCAGGGACGCAGCAAGUGACGGUACCUGCGGAAUAAGCCACGGCUAACUACGUGCCAGCAGCCGCGGUAAUACGUAGGUGGCAAGCGUUAUCCGGAUUUACUGGGUGUAAAGGGCGUGUAGGCGGGAAAGGAAGUCAGAUGUUAAAACCAUGGGCUCAACCUGUGGCCUGCAUUUGAAACUGUUUUUCUUGAGUACUGGAGAGGCAGACGGAAUUCCUAGUGUAGCGGUGAAAUGCGUAGAUAUUGGGAGGAACACCAGUGGCGAAGGCGGGCUGCUGGACAGCAACUGACGCUGAGGCGCGAAAGCGUGGGGAGCGAACAGGAUUAGAUACCCCUGUAGUC
rnacentral:rRNA from 1 species